UCUGUGUGUGCAGAUACUGUGUGUGUAGAUACCAUGCAAUCAUUGAACCACGUUUAUAAGGAAUAGAGGGUUUUUCUUUUUAACAGAUCACCAGUGAGAAUGAAGACAAGUGUGGACAAGAAAUACACUUGAGCAGAGGAAGCCUUUGCAUCUCAACACAGUACAUUCUAUUUCUUGAGUUAUAAGUGCCCAUCGUACAGACCGUUUCCUUCUACCCUUAGUGUGCCAAGGGUCAGGAUGCUUUUAGAAUGUGUUUCUUUCACAGACCAGACUCCUGGCAAUACCGAAGUCCUAUACCUGGAGUGGUGCCACCCACAUUCAGGCUGUGUCUUUUUACACUGAGCAAAGCAGUCAAGACAUUUCCCAACAGACAUUCCCACAGCCUCCCUGAGCUAGAGAGGCCCUCACUGAGAAUCACCUCUCAGGUGACUGUAAGUGAUGUCAUGUUGUCAUGUCAUUUUAACCAACCAGCACAACUGGCAUGGCCAACUCUCAUCACCUUCUAACUCCCAAAUAUUCUGUCAUCUCAGAGAGGUCCCCAGCCACUGUUCUUACCUUCAGCCUGACUGUAGCUUUAUCUGUUCCAACUCUGCAGACCUGCCAUUUCUAGGAGUGUUGUCUAGAUGGAGUCAUGCAGCUCCUGGCUUGUUGCUAAGCACAGGUGCUGGUGUAUCACACAUGUGUGUCAGUCAGAACCCUCCUCUGUCACUUUGGUUCCUUGGUGUGGCCAGGCUAUAGCUUUUCUGUUGUUGGGCCUGUGGGUGGCCUUUACUUCUCCCCAGUGCUACUCGGAGUCCUCACUGUUCUUGGCAUGUGUACUUUGAGGUAGAAUUGUGCCUGUGCACAGUAAUGGGAUUGCAGGGCACAGGAGCUAGGUGUUCUCUUUGGUGGGUUAGCAUUGUCAAUCAGAUACCUAUGAGGCAGGCUUCUGGGAACACCUUUGAGGGAUUGUCUGGGUUAAGAUUAGCCUUUGGGAAUGAAUGUCAAUAAAGGAUUGCCUGAAUUAAGUUGAAGUGGGAAGACCUGCCCACUGUGGGUGGCACCAUUCCCUAGCCAUGAUAUCCUGGAUUUUUUUUAAGGAUGGAGAAUGUGAGUGGAGCACUAGCAUGUAUGUGUUAACCCAGUGGUCUCUGCUCUGGAAUGUAGACAGAGUAUAACCAGUUUUCUUAAAUGCCUGCUUCUGUAACCGCCCUGCCAUGAUGAUAAUGACCUGGAACUGUGAGUCCAAUGCACCCUUUCUCCCUUAAGUUGCUUUCGUCCGAGAUUUUAUUACAACAACAGAAAAUAAACUAAGACAGAGACCCCCUUCUCUUUGCAGCCUGAGUGGUAGGAGGGCAGGUGUGGACGUCCCUUCCUGACUCUCUGACUGCAUGCUGAACUGGAAGGCAGCCCUAUGGCUGCCAGGACUGUGUCCCCUGGGAGGCAGGGCCUUAUUCGCUGGAUCUGCAGUGAUCGGUGGUCUCAGGCAGGCUGCUCUCUGGUCCAAAGCAUUGCAGUUGGUGGCCACACCCAGGGCUGUGGUUCCUGCCAGGUCAGACCUCCUUCUCUAUUGGGCUAUGUGUGUGUUGGGGACAGGCUGGGACAGGGUUGCCCUGGGUGGCACUGUGGGUAAGGUGUGUAGGGUCAUCCCUAAGCAUUGGACUCAUGGUGUUUGGAGAGAGUGGGCUGCAUGACAUUGUAGGUACGUCUUUUGGCUGGAAGAACCUGAGUCCUUAUGGAAGAGGCCCUUACUAUGCCAGGUUUAGCUUAUCACAAGGCCGGGGGAGUGGUACUGUGGGCCUCUCUGCAUGACAGACACUGGCCUCAAUAGGACCAGAAAGUCUGGUCAUUUGUCUAGGAAGGCGCUGGAGCCGUGGGUCAGUGGCUUCCACCUCCCAGAGCCAACUGUGUGCUUUACACGCUCUAUUCUGCAUGCCCCAUCCGUCUACCUUCCCCACCCUCUCUUGUCUUUUUGUGCCUUCUCUGCCUGUUCCUCUAGGUCGCUGUCCUUGCCUCUGUCUGCUAUUUUGUCCUUCAGUGGUUUAUUCACCACCCACCCUGUAGCACCCCUCACUCCUGUGCCUUGCCUUUCUGCUCCCGGCUGUCCUUGGUGCCUCACACCCUUCAUCUCCCUGCACUCCGUCCACCCGCUUCUGCCCUAUCUCCCUUCCCCAACCUCCCUGCUGUUCUCCCCCACUCUGGGCUAUCCCAGAGCUUCCUGCCAACCCCCGCCUCUCUGCUCCAGGCAUAAAGUCCAACAGGACACCAACAAAACCAUGGCUGCCAGCUCCAGUGCCAUGAAGCAGGCGUCAGAGCUGCGGGGCUUCUGCCUGGCUAGAUCCACCUGAGAAGAGGACCCUCAAUUGAGAAUGUGCCUCCCUCUUACUGGCACACAGGUAAACCUUUCUGGAAACGCCAGAUAUUGUCCAGAGAUGUGUUUCCAUGGCAAUCCUCAUCUAGCCAAGUUGGCAAUGAGGAUGAAUAAUCAACGAGCAUCAACUUUCAACUGAACUCUGGUGUCUCUCUGCCUUAAAUAUGUCUCUUGGAAACUGCUGAAUUAUAUUAAAAAAAAAAAGCUGAUGUUCGGACUUCACUGCGGUGGUAAAUGGCAGCGCGCUCUGCUGAAGAUCCCAACAGGAAUUGGACUCCAGUCAGUCCUUCACAGACCCAGCUCAAAUCUUCUGAGUGUUCUCGUGCACUCCUUGUCAGCCACUCCGCAGACACCUACUCAUUCGGGCGGAGCACAGAGGAGGGGCUAACCCCAGGAUGCUCACUGGCAGAGAAGACUUUUUGCUGAGAUUGUCUUGGCAUCCAAUGGAUCUAUAGCCAUGGCCAUCCAGGAGCCCUGGGGCACCUGUGGUAGGGUCAAGUGUGAGAUGGAGCACGGAAGUGUGAUGCUGGUUGUUGGAGUGGUACCUAGGCACUGAUGAAUGUUCCUCUACCCCAACAGCAAGACACAGCUUGCUCUCAAAUAUCAAUGACGGUAGGUUGAUGGUACUUGAUUCUCUUGGGAGGACAACAGCCACACACUAGGGAGGGUACAGUGGGGAAGGAAGAGUCUCGAGAGUCCCAAGUGAGUGUUUGUGGUAGUUUGAAUAAGAAUCCCCACCACCACCUCUAGGCUCAUAAAUUUGAACGCAUAGGGAGUGGCACUGUUUGAAAGGAUUGGGAGGUGUGGCCUUGUUGGAGGAAGUAGUCACUGGGAGUAAGCUCGGAGGUUUUAAGAACCCAAGCCAGGCCCAGUGGCUUUCUCUUCCUGCUGAGUGUGGAUGUGAAUGUAGGACCUUCAACUCCCUCUUCAGCGCCAUGUCUGCAUGUAUGCCACCAUACUUCCUGCCAUGAUGAUAAUGGACUGAACCUCUGAAACUGUAA
rnacentral:sRNA from 1 species